rnacentral:rRNA from 1 species
UACGAAGGGGGCUAGCGUUGCUCGGAAUUACUGGGCGUAAAGCGCACGUAGGCGGCUUUCUAAGUCGGGGGUGAAAUCCUGGAGCUCAACUCCAGAACUGCCUUCGAUACUGGAGCUUGAGUCCGGGAGAGGUGAGUGGAACUGCGAGUGUAGAGGUGAAAUUCGUAGAUAUUCGCAAGAACACCAGUGGCGAAGGCGGCUCACUGGCCCGGUACUGACGCUGAGGUGCGAAAGCGUGGGGAGCAAACAGGGAUUAAGA